CCAGAAUCUGAAGCAGGACCUGAAGAAUGUUAUGUCGGACAUUGAUUCCCUGGCAGUGCUGAAGCACCGAAUCGAAGAAUGGGAAACCCAGCCUGCUCAACAUGCCGUGCCAUGGGUUAAAGUAAACGGCUUAACGUUUGACCAGUGGAUGGAACGAUGGAAAGUAGCUGUGGCCCAGCUCCGCCAAUAUCAAGUUGCAGAUCUCUAUUGAUUCUCCCAGCUGCUUCCUCCCCCUCCUCCUCCUCCAACUGUUCACUAGUCAUACAGUAAUCUCUGCUGUUCUGUGGCCCAGCUACCGUGUGUGUGUGUGUGUGUGUGUGUGUGUAUCUAUAAGUAUGUGUAUCAAUAAGUAUGUGUAUGUUUGUGUGAUGUGUGUGUGUGUGUGCAUGUAUAUGUUUAUAUUUGUAUAUAUACAUGUGUAUUUAUGUAGGUGUAUUUGUAUGCAGAUACAUAUUAGUUUAUGUAGCUGUUUAUCGUUGUAUAUAUUCAUAUAUAUGUGUAUGUAGCUAUAUGUUUAGUAUUAUGAAUAUGUUUAUAUUAUGUAUAUAUGUGUGUGUAGGGUAUACAUGUGUGUGUACACCUGUGUAUGUAUAUUUCUGUAAGUUUUUGAAGAUACUUAUAUAUAUAUAUAUAUAUAUAUAUGUGUGUGUGUGUAUAUAUUUGUGUGCUUUUAAACCAUCUCUCUCCCUCCCCUUCACUGUUCACUAUUUUUUGUGUUCACUACACUACUGUCUAUCACUUAAUGUUCACUAACAGCUCCCCUGUCCCCUACCCAGACUAGUUAUCAUUUGAAGUCAAAUGUCCUGGUAUUUAUUCCUCAUCCCACCCGCUCCCCACCAGACUGUUUUUAUUUUCUAUUUCUCGUUAUUCAAACUGUUUAUAAAUCAAUUUUAUUCACAGAAAUUGAACUCUGAUAAAUAAACGAGUAACAAAAGUAAUAAAAUAUUAAAAAUAAUAAUAAUAAUGAUGGUUUUAAAUUUUGGCAUGAGACCAGCAGUUUCAGGGGAAGAGAUGAGUCGAUUUGCAUCGACCCCAGUAAGCAACUGGUAAUUAUUUUAUCAACCUCGAAAGGAUGAAAAACAAAGUUGACCUUGGCGGUAUUUGAACUCGGAACUUAAAGACACAGUUGAAAUGCCACUAAAUCUUUUGCCCAGCAUGCUAAUGUUUCUGCCAGCUCACCACCUUACUAUAAAAAUAAUAAGAAAAACUGUCUCUCUGUUUCUCUGUCAGUCUAUUCAUUUGUCCAUCUUCCUUCCUUCAUUAAAUACAGACCUCUUCUUUCUUAUAA